UGCUAAUUGUCUGCGAAAUACGUGAUAC
rnacentral:sRNA from 1 species